rnacentral:rRNA from 1 species
UUUAUGGAGAGUUUGAUCCUGGCUCAGGAUGAACGCUGGCGGCGUGCCUAAUACAUGCAAGUCGAGCGAACAGAUAAGGAGCUUGCUCCUUUGACGUUAGCGGCGGACGGGUGAGUAACACGUGGGUAACCUACCUAUAAGACUGGAAUAACUCCGGGAAACCGGGGCUAAUGCCGGAUAAUAUUUAGAACCGCAUGGUUCUAAAGUGAAAGAUGGUUUUGCUAUCACUUAUAGAUGGACCCGCGCCGUAUUAGCUAGUUGGUGGGGUAAUGGCUUACCAAGGCAACGAUACGUAGCCGACCU